UUACUGCAGCCUGAUAUUGAGUUUCGAUCAGAGAUGUACAGGAUAGGUGGGAGACAAAGAGACAUGCACGCCAGUGUAUGAGGAGUCGCUGUUGGGAUACCACUCUUGUCUGAUUGGAAUUCUAACCUGCAUCCCUAAGCGGGAUGAGGGACCGUGUCAGGUGGGCAGUUUGACUGGGGCGGUCGCCUCCCAAAGAGUAACGGAGGCGCCCAAAGGUACGCUCAGAUUGGAUGGAAAUCAAUCGACGAGUGCAAAUGCAGAAGCGUGCUUGACUGCGAGACAAACAGGUCGAGCAGGGACGAAAGUCGGGAUUAGUGAUCCGGCGGUGCCGAAUGGAAGGGCCGUCGCUCAACGGAUAAAAGCUACCCUGGGGAUAACAGGCUGAUCUCGCCCAAGAGUUCACAUCGACGGCGAGGUUUGGCACCUCGAUGUCGGCUCAUCGCAUCCUGGAGCUGAAUUCGGUUCCAAGGGUUGGGCUGUCCGCCCAUUAAAGCGGUACGCGAGCUGGGUUCAGAACGUCGUGAGACAGUUCGGUCCCUAUCUGUUGUGGGCGAAGGAGAUUUGAGGAGAGCUGUCCUUAGUACGAGAGGACCGGGAUGGACCUACCGCUGGUGCACCGGUUGUUCCGCCAGGAGCAUAGCCGGGUAGCUAAGUAGGGAAGGGAUAGGCGCUGAAAGCAUCUAAGCGCGAAGCCUACUCCAAGAUGAGAUCUCCCAUUCGCAAGAAGUAAGACCCCUUGAAGACGACGAGGUAGAUAGGUCAGGGAUGGAAGCAUAGCGAUAUGUGAAGUUGACUGAUACUAAUAGGUCGAGGACUUAAUCACAA
rnacentral:rRNA from 1 species